AUAAUAUUACUUCACUGAUUUCUUGUUCGAUUUUUUGGCAGAAAGUUUUAGAAUUAUCAAAUGAAAAAAACGGUCAGCUCUUGUGGUUCGAGUGUUGAAAAUGGGAUAAACUAAAUGUGAAUUUCCUUAUA